rnacentral:rRNA from 1 species
AUUGAACGCUGGCGGCAUGCUUUUCACAUGCAAGUCGAACGGCAGCGCGGGCUUCGGCCUGGCGGCGAGUGGCGAACGGGUGAGUAAUGCAUCGGAACGUGCCCAGUAGUGGGGGAUAGCCCGGCGAAAGCCGGAUUAAUACCGCAUACGACCUGAGGGUGAAAGCGGGGGACCGAAAGGCCUCGCGCUAUUGGAGCGGCCGAUGUCGGAUUAGCUAGUUGGUGGGGUAAAGGCUUACCAAGGCGACGAUCCGUAGCUGGUCUGAGAGGACGACCAGCCACACUGGGACUGAGACACGGCCCAGACUCCUACGGGAGGCAGCAGUGGGGAAUUUUGGACAAUGGGGGCAACCCUGAUCCAGCCAUGCCGCGUGCGGGAAGAAGGCCUUCGGGUUGUAAACCGCUUUUGUUCGGGAAGAAAUCCUCUGGGCUAAUACCCCGGGGGGAUGACGGUACCGGAAGAAUAAGCACCGGCUAACUACGUG